rnacentral:rRNA from 1 species
CCUACGGGAGGCAGCAGUAGGGAAUAUUGCUCAAUGGGCGAAAGCCUGAAGCAGCGACGCCGCGUGAAGGAUGAAGGUUUUCGGAUUGUAAACCUCUUUUGGUAGAGAAGAUAAUUCAGUGUUCUAACCAAUAAGGACUGGCCAACACCGGCACAGCAAGCACCGUAAUACGGAGGGUGCAAGCGUUAAGCGGAAUCACUGGGCGUAAAGAGAGUGUAGGCGGGAUGGCAAGUCAGGCGUGAAAUCCUAGGGCUUAACCAUAGAACUGCCUUUGAAACUGGCAUUCUAGAGUGUGGGAGAGGUAGGUGGAAUUCUUGGUGUAGGGGUGAAAUCCGUAGAGAUCGAGAGGAAUACUGAUGGCGAAGGCGACCUGCUGGCACAUAACUGACGCUGAGGCGCGAAAGCGUGGGUAGCAAACAGGAUUAGAUACCCGAGUAGUC